CAUAGAUCAGAUGGUAAAAAUAUGCUUCUGUAGGAACUGGCUAUGCUCCAAGCUUCUAUUGGAAGUGGAUACCUUCUUUUGAAAGUGCUGCACAGAGGCUAGAGGAUUGCACAACUGGCAUGUCAACUGGAUCCCACAAUUCCCAGCUGAACAGCCUUGUUUAUCUUUGUAUGCUGGGCAUGACAGGACGAAUUCAGCAUUUCCAGUGAAACACAAAGACCCUUUUCAAGAAUCAGCUGACUGACUCUUCUGAGUAUGAAGAAUCCCGGCAUCAUAUAACUUAACCCUAUUCUUCUCACCAUUCUCUAGAUUAUUAAAAGACUAUCUGUAAA